rnacentral:lncRNA from 13 species
UUCCAGGUAGGGGGGGAAAGAGACUUCCAGGUAGGGGGGGAAAAGAGACUUCCAGGUAGGGGGGGAAAGAGAGACUUCCAGGUAGGGGGGGAAAGAGAGACUUCCAGGUAGGGGGGGAAAGAGACUUCCAGGUAGGGGGGGAAAAAGAGACAUCCAGGUAGGGGUAAAAUAUACUUCCAGGUAGGGAAAGUUCAAUUCAACUUAGGCCGUGUUCAAGAUGGCACCCUAAUUCCCUAAAAUGAAUGCACUACUUUUGACUAGUCCUUUUGGUCUCGUUACUGAUGAAGGCUUUAGGGCAGAAACGCCAUCCAUAACUGUGACACCUCCUAUCUUUUGUAUCAGUCCGAUUUUCCUUUUGGGCCGACGGCACCCAACGCCUCACCUCCAAAGUAUUUUACAACUUAAUGUUAGAAUGGUUCCUCGCAAGUUUUCAAGUGUCUGUUUACAGAAAACCGAAGCAUGGAUUACAGUUUGUCCAGGCCCCAUUUGAGUACUUUUCAGGGUGAGGAACCAUCUAACAUUGUUGUAAAAUACUGAACUUCCCCCCCCCCUUUUUAAGCUUGUGAACUAUUGAAGGAGGAGUUGAGCUUGUUAUUGUGCAUCGUCUUCAACCAGGUGACGGUACAGGGCCAGCCCCUGCUGCUGACCCACCCCCUGUACGAGGUCCACCCUCCCCGUCUCGGAACCAUCACCCAGCUGGUGACUCUGCUGCUGGAUCUGGAGAGCCUGAUGGUCUGCCCCGGCUUCCCCGUCAGGCUGCCCGCCCUGGGGGACAGGGGCAUGGAGGUGAUGGAGCCGGUUCUUUGUGUGAGGGCGGCCAUCUGUGAACUGCUGGUCCCUCUGGAGGAGGAGAGGUGUGAGAGGUGUCGAGACAACAUCGUGGAGAAGGACCUGGAACUUAUAGAGGAGGAGGACCUGGAACUUAUAGAGGAGGAGGACCUGGAAUUUGAGCUGGAGUUGGGGGAGGAUGGGUGGGUGUAACAGGGUUGGAGGGUGUGACUGGAGUGGGUUUGAACCCCCGGGACAAGACUGUGUUAGCCUGCUGAGCUAAAUCCUAAACUUGUGUUAGCCCACCAAGCCAUAACUCUAGGCAGGCUUACUUGUUAUGCAAGUGUGGUUCACGGAACCAACUAAAUACAGGGACCCAAGGCCAGGUUGCUCNNNNNNNNNNCCGGAGUGUGUGAAAGGCGCAGAGGAACGAACCGGAGUGUGUGAAAGGCGCAGAGGAACGAACCGGAGUGUGUGAAAGGCGCAGAGGAACGAACCGGGGUGUGUGUGAAAGACAGAACAUCUCCAUUGGUUUACCAUUAUACCGGUCUACCCCAGGGCAGUGUAGAGAUUGUACUGAGAUAAUAAAAAUACAUUUUUAAACAAUUCAUUCUGAAUGAACGUUACCGGACCGCAAGGAACUACGAAUAGAUCUGCGGAAAGGAAGGUGUGUUUUUUUUUUCUUCCAUCACUCCUUCCACGAAGUCCGGUCCUAAUGCCUGGUCUUUGCAGUGCACUUGGUCUUGUGUUGGUGUGCUGAAUGAGCUCUCUCCGGACAGAGGCGAGCUAUCCACGUUGCCGCCACACAGUGUUAUGUUGUUGUGAUACAUGUUCACUCGCCCGAACAGGCAACAGGCUAUGAAUGGGACGUGUUAUUCUGUUGCUCGCUGCUUGUUAGUUUUGCUUCUCAUCAUGAUCAACGUGUCGGUAUGAUACAGACACCCUCACCCUAUAGGUGCAGUCCUAGAGGACUCCGUCAGGACUGGACCAGUCACACUUUACACGUUUAUUCCAUGAAGAUUCGGGAUAGAAUUUCAGAGAUGUUUUUUUCUGCCGCGUUCGGGAGUCGAUUCUUGGCAUUAAUGAAGGCGCUCUAAAUCCCUUCAAACAGGUAGGCUACUUUUUUUUACAAUGAUUUUAAACCGUUUAUUUAACUAGGCAAGUCAGUUUUAAAUAACACAUUCUUAUUUUACAACGAUGGCCAACCCCCGGCUAAACCCUCCCCUAACCCAGACAACGCUGGGGCCAAUUGUGCUCCGCCCUAUGGGACUCACGAUCACAGCCAGUUGUGAUACAGCCCAGGAUCGAACUAGGGUCUGUAGUGACCACCUCUAGCACUGAGAUGCAGUGCCUUAGACUGCUAUGCCACUCAGGAGCCCCUAAGCAUAUAUCUCUCCCCCCACACUAUCCCCACACACCCUCCAUUGGUUAUUCUGUAUCAGAGGAAGCACAAAAGUGUUCCGGUUGAUUAUUGCUGCAUUGCUGUUCACAUGUUUUGAUAAGCCUACUCAAUGCUUGUGUGUGUCAAGGGUGGGAGGGGCGGGGAGGGGCGGGGUNNNNNNNNNNUCAUCACUGUAUUUCGUAGACUACGUAUCACGCACGCAGACUAGUAGCAAUGUGUGUAUGGAAGAUUGGCUGCUUAACGUUCAUUUAUGAUCUAGUAACGUUAUACAUACAGAACCAGUCAACAGUUUGGACACACCUACUCGUUCCAGGGGGUUUUCCUUUAUUUGUGAAGUCUUCUACAUUGUAGAAUAAUAGUGAAGACAUCAAGCCAAUGAAAUGAACACAUAUGGAAUCAUGUAGUAACCUAAAAAACUGUUUAACAAAUCAAAAUGUAUUUAAUGUUUGAGAUUCGUCAAAGUAGCCACCCUUUGCCUUGAUUAACUGCUUUGCACACAGAUCACCCCUACCUUGUCACAACACAACUGAUUGGCUAAGACGCAUUAAGAAGGACAUAAAUUCCACAAGUUAACUUUUAACAAGGCACACCUGUUAAUUGAAAUGCAUUCCAGGUGACUACCUCAUCAAGCUGGUUGAGAGAAUGCCAAGCGUGUGCAAAGCUGUCAUCAAGGCUAAUGGUGGCUACUUUGAAGAAUCUCAAAUAUAAAAUAUAUUUUUGAUUUGUUUAACACGUUUCUGGUUACUACAUGAUUCCAUAUGUGUUAUUUCAUAGUUUUGAUGUCUUCACUAUUAUUCUACAAUGUAGAAAAUAGUAAAAAUAAAGAAAAAACCCUGGAAUGAGUAAUUGUGUCCAAGCUUUUGACUGGUACUGUAUCAAUGUGUGUAUGGAAGAAUGUCUGCUUAACGUUGGGACAUACUCUGUUCAUUUAAAAAAGACUUCUGAUAUCUUCCUGUUGCAGGAACAUUUUUUUUUUUGUGCAUUUUAAGAAUGGAGCUAGCUAGUUUGUUCGUCUUUUCAAGAACUGUGAACUGCCACAGUGGCGUUACCAAGUAGAGGAUACUGCUGCUUUAUCCCUUUUCAGGUUAACUUUCACAUUAACAACGGCAUUAUACUUGCUUUUCUGGGGUCAAAGUUCAGUUAUUUUAAUUUGAAUAUUUCUGGUUCUAUUUUCAGAGUUCUAUUAUUUCUGGUUCUAUGUGAAUUCAAAUGCAUUUUUUUUAAAACAAUUUUUAAAAACCAUUUUACAGAACUAGACCAUCACUAUCUACUCUCCCCAGCUGACUGAACAAAGUGCUCACAGGCUGGCUUACCAUUUCCCGAGACAGUUGUAGUGUUGGAAGGAAGGUCUGUGUCGGUAAGAAAUGUUUUCAAUAUGUCAAUACACUGGACUGGAUAGUCAGUGAGAAGUGAGACAUUGAGCACAAUCAGAAUCUGUUGCAAAUGUAACGGGGGGCCCCAAUCACCUUUUUUUAUAUGUUCACGUGUAACUGUUCUCUUGGCUUUGUUUAAAAAUAAAUGUUUUAUAUGUUGUUCACGGGAACAACAUGGUCCAUACAAGGACCACUCUGUCUGAGUAGAAGACACAUUUUUGCUACAACAACAUCUUGUCUUUUCUUAUAAAUUAGAAUUUUAUUUUACCUUUUUUUUUUAACUAGGCAAGUCAGUUAAGAACAAAUUCUUAUUUUCAAUGACGGUCUAGGAACAGUGGGUUAACUGUUCUGUUCAGGGGCAGAACGACAGAUUUGUACCUUGUCAGCUCGGGGGUUUGAACUUGCAACCUUUUGGUUACUAGUCCAACGCUCUAACCACUAGGCUUGAAGAUAGAAUUGAAGGUAAUGGUCUGUGGAGAUGCUCCAGAAACCUACUGUAUCCUACUGGGAAUGUCAGUUUGUUAUGGUAAAGAAGUACUGGUUUACUUUUUAUGGUGUGAGUAUUUGUAUCAAAACUUGUAAAAGUAUUAAACUUUAACUUUUAUGGUUGUUGAUCUCUCUGCUUUCCCCUGACAUGAUCCCUCUGCUUUCCCCUGACAUGAUCCCUCUGCUUUCCCCCGACAUGAUCUCUCUGCUUUCCCCUGACAUGAUCNNNNNNNNNNGUCAUCACUGUAUUUCGUAGACUACGUAUCACGCACGCAGACUAGUAGCAAUGUGUGUAUGGAAGAUUGGCUGCUUAACGUUCAUUUAUGAUCUAGUAACGUUAUACAUACAGAACCAGUCAACAGUUUGGACACACCUACUCGUUCCAGGGGGUUUUCCUUUAUUUGUGAAGUCUUCUACAUUGUAGAAUAAUAGUGAAGACAUCAAGCCAAUGAAAUGAACACAUAUGGAAUCAUGUAGUAACCUAAAAAACUGUUUAACAAAUCAAAAUGUAUUUAAUGUUUGAGAUUCGUCAAAGUAGCCACCCUUUGCCUUGAUUAACUGCUUUGCACACAGAUCACCCCUACCUUGUCACAACACAACUGAUUGGCUAAGACGCAUUAAGAAGGACAUAAAUUCCACAAGUUAACUUUUAACAAGGCACACCUGUUAAUUGAAAUGCAUU